GAAAUGCGAUAAGUAGUGUGAAUUGCAGAAUUCAGUGAAUCAUCGAAUCUUUGAACGCACAUUGCGCCCCUUGGUAUUCAUGGGGCAUGCCUGUUCGAGCGUCAUUUGUACCCUCAAGCUCUGCUUGGUGUUGGGUGUUUGUCCCCGUCUCCGCGCGUGGACUCGCCCCAAAGUGAUUGGCAGCCGGCGUACUGGUCCCGGAGCGCAGCACAUGUCGCGCAAACGAGUGCCUUGGUACGGCGGCGUCCAUAAGCCCCUCUCUCACGCUCUUGACCUCGGAUCAGGUAGGGAUACCCGCUGAACUUAAGC
rnacentral:misc_RNA from 1 species